AACCAUAACGUUAUGAAGCAUCAAGCAUAUUUUUGUAUGUGAGUAAAACAAAAAUAACGACUUUAUUCAACAAUUCCUUUGUCAACAGUCUCCUCUGUCUCUCAAGGUUACUUGGCUGUCAUUUGGCAGCUCUAAGUUUCAGCUCCCUCCACAGAUUUUCUAUAGGAUUGAGGUCUGGAGACUGGCUAGCCCCCUCCAUGACCUUUAUGUGUUUCUUCUUCAGCCACUCAUUUGUUGCCUUGGUGGUAUGUUUUGGGUCAAUCUCAUGCUGGAAGACCCAUUCAUUACCCAUCUUAAGUGUCUGGCUGAGGCAAGGAGGUUCUCGUCCAAGAUUGUAUAGUACAUGGGCCCAUCCAUUUGCCCCUCAGUGUGAUGAAGUCAUCAUGUACCCUUAGUAGAAAAACAGCCACAAAACAGAAUAUUUCCACCUCUGUGCUCGACUGUAGGGAUGGUGUUCUUGUGGUAAUCGUAAGCAUUUCUCUCCCUCCAAACAAGUCGAUUUUAUGCCAGAGAGCUAAAUUUUGGUCUAAUCUGACCACAGCACUUUCACCCAAGCCUUCUCUGUAUCAUUUAGAUGUUCUUUGGCAAAUUUUAAAUGGGUCUGUACAUGUGCCUUCUUGAGCAAUGGGACCUUGCGGGAUCCGCAGGAUUUCAGUCCAUUGUGGCGUAGUGUGUUACCAAUCGUUUGCUUGAUUACUGUGGUCCCAACUGCCUUAAGAUCAUUAACAAGCUCCUCCUCUGUAGUUCGGGGCUGACCCCUCACCUUUCUAAUGAUCAUCCUUACCCCAUGAGGCAAGAUCUUGCACAGAGGUCCAGACCGAGGCUGGCAGUUGUCUCCUUCUCACCAAGCUUCCUGCUGACGGUCUUUCAGCCCAUUCAAGCCUUGUGCAGAUCUACAAUCUUGUCUCUGAAAGCUCGUUGGUCUUUCCCAUGGUGAUGGGAGAGGUUGGAAAGGAAGACACUGGUCGGGUGUCUAAUACACCUAAGAGCUGACAUUAGGAGUAACUUCUUAAAGUGGCAGGACUAAUCUGUGUUCCACAUGGGAUCCAGGGAGCCAGAAUUCUUGCUGCUCUGAUAUCGGCUGGGUGUUGCACCAGCAACUGUAGAAGUGUCAAGCUUUGGGACAGUUUUGAUGCCUCCUGACCAUGGCCUUGACUGGAUUCAGUGGGCUUUGAUAGAGGAUGCCUGUUGCUUUCAUUUAACUUGCACUGACAGAAAUGGACGACAAGGAUGAAAAAGCCAGAGUGAAGGACAAAAAUGUUUGCGCAGCCAGUGUCUCUCAUCCCAUUCCCUCACCACACUGUUUCCUGCUGGUCUCCCAAUACAACUUACAGCCCUGCAAAUCCAAGGCCUGGAGGAGGGAUUCUUUAGGGUUUAAACAGCUGGAAAUAACAUGAUUGCCAAAAGGAUUUCUCAAAUGGGAGAUUUAAUCAUUUCUCUUUUGCCAACAAAUUGAGCUACCUCCUUUGAACGGAAGCAGACAAAACAAAAAUGUGGGACUGGAAUUUUUUUGUUUUGUUUAUUUAUUAAUUUUUUUUCUUUUACCCAUUUUGUUUAUAGUCGCCCCAAAACACAAUCAAUCCACACUGUAAACAGGGGGGGUUAGUGUGCCAGCAUUUUGCACACAAAGGCAGUUACUUAUUACCAAACCAGUCUUAUGUCUCUAAAACAAGGGCAUUUCUUAAGCCGUUUUAAAGAAAAGAGCAAUACUGAAUGUCAGUGGCUCACAAGUAUCACAUUUUAGCUGAAAUCUGAAUGAUUAUGACAUUAUGUCAUAUCAAUCACUGCCUGGCUUUCAUAAGGACCUGUGUGAGAACGGUUCAUUUACUACAUUGACUAUGGCCAUGUGUAAAGAACGGUAGUUAAACACUUAACUAUCUAUAAUCGAAAGUCGAAAGUUAAAGUCGAAGGUGUGCUAAAACACCUCUCCUGUCUCUUAAUAUCCCAUAACUGAUCUGUUUGUAGAUGCAGUAUUGUGUGAUGUAAAAGAAGCACAUAGAAAGCUGCUGCUGCUGCACCUGAGAAUUGUGUAGCCAGACGCUUUAGGCUUCCUUUGUGUUGAGUCUUCUUGCGUCUGGUGUUUCUGCCCUCACUGCUGCUGAAAUCAAGCGGCCCAAUCACAAAGCUCACAUAUCUUGACCAUUUCAAUGCUUUGUGAAAUUGCCAAAACCAUUUUAUGGUUCAUCAAUAAAAAAAAUUAAAAAAUCCCCUUCUGUCUGUGGAUUCAAAAGGAAGAGGCGGCCCUGUGGCUCUGUUAGUCCAGACUUGCUUGCCCUCACAUUCUCUGUUUUUGGACAGUAAACUCAGAGACUUGUCAUCCCACUGGACUACAUAGACCAUCAAACCAGGUACUGUUGCGUUUCAUUUGAGAGGACUUCAUACUUUAUAUUUGUUCCCUCACUGAACGUAACAUGCAUCUCGCAAACCAUCAAUCCUCCUGUAUACCAUCAGUAUUAAAAACAGCAAAAGUUACUUGAUAAGCUCAUUAACCUGUGAUUUUUUAUUUUUGUUGACAGAUUACGAAACAGAACAAAUAUUAAUAUAUAAAACCUUUAUGUUUUUAAAAAGUAAAGAGUAGUUUAAGGCUUAGUUUUUUAUAUAUGAUAACUAUAAUUAUUAUUUUUGACGUACUGGUAUUAUUGAAUCUAUAAAUAUUACACUAAGAGAUGUAUGUAAAAACAAUAAAGUCUUCUUUAUGUAAAGCAUUUUUAAUUUGAUUCUUAUUUUUGACUGAUUUGUUCAUUUUACAUGUAAGGAAACCAGAAAUCAUAUUCUUAAAUGUAACGUAAAUAGUUCAGCCGUUUCUAAAGCUGUAUGACUUGCUUCUGUUCUUCAGUUUUCAGUGUCACGUGUUCCUUCGGAACUCAUUUUAAUAUGCUGAUUUGGUGCUCAAGAAAAAUGUCUUAUCAAUGUUAAAACCAGUUGUACUGCUUAAUAUUUUUGUGGAAAUCGUAAUACAUUUCAUGCGUUGUUUUAGUCUUUACAUGAUUUAAUGCAUUC